UGGCUCUCGCAUCGAUGAAGAACGCAGCAAAGCGCGAAAUGUAAUGUGAAUUGCAGAAUUCAGUGAAUCAUCGAAUCUUUGAACGCACCUUGCGCUCUUGGGACAUUCCUAGGAGCAUGCUUGUUUGAGUGUCGCGUACCUCUCAACCCCGCCUUUUUCGAAAGGUAGACUAGGGUUGGAUCAUGGCGCCUUUUGUCUUGUGAAAGAGACUGCGCUGAAUUAUAACAAGCCGGAUUAGACUUGGCGGCUUGACCCGUUGUUGUAAGCUAACACUACCAAUGGGGACGCCAGUUUGAAUGGGCUUACCAUAAAAUUGCUAUUUUGACAAUUGACCUCAAAUCAAGUAGGACUACCCGCUGA
rnacentral:misc_RNA from 1 species